ACAAAGAAAUAGCACUUCUAUUUACUGCACACGUCUUUCCUCAGAGCGUUAACAAAAACUGAUUCCUUUGUCUUCAGUCUUCGUCACU